AGUGAACGCUGGCGGUAGGCCUAACACAUGCAAGUCGAACGGCAGCACAGUAAGAGCUUGCUCUUACGGGUGGCGAGUGGCGGACGGGUGAGGAAUACAUCGGAAUCUACUUUUUCGUGGGGGAUAACGUAGGGAAACUUACGCUAAUACCGCAUACGACCUACGGGUGAAAGUAGGGGAUCUUCGGACCUUGCGCGAUUGAAUGAGCCGAUGUCGGAUUAGCUAGUUGGCGGGGUAAAGGCCCACCAAGGCGACGAUCCGUAGCUGGUCUGAGAGGAUGAUCAGCCACACUGGAACUGAGACACGGUCCAGACUCCUACGGGAGGCAGCAGUGGGGAAUAUUGGACAAUGGGCGCAAGCCUGAUCCAGCCAUACCGCGUAGGUGAAGAAGGCCUUCGGGUUGUAAAGCCCUUUUGUUGGGAAAGAAAAGCAGCAGGUUAAUACCCCGCUGUUCUGACGGUACCCAAAGAAUAAGCACCGGCUAACUUCGUG
rnacentral:rRNA from 1 species